GAGUUUGAUCCUGGCUCAGGACGAACGCUGGCGGCGUGCUUAACACAUGCAAGUCGAACGGAGUCUAAAAAUUACCACUGAGAUCUUAGUCAGUGGGCGAGCAGCGUCAUGGACACGAAGUGGCCAUCACGCAUUAAAAAAGUGCCAACACAGGAUUGAGGCCUGAGUGGUGAUUUUUAGACUGAGUGGCAAACGGGUGAGUAACACGUAGGCAACCUGCCGACAGGAUGGGGACAACAUUCCGAAAGGAAUGCUAAUACCGAAUGGAGUCCGGGGAUGGCAUCAUCCCUGGAUAAAAGAUGGCCUCUGAAUAUGCUAUCGCCUGUCGAUGGGCCUGCGUCUGAUUAGCCAGUUGGCGGGGUAACGGCCCACCAAAGCGACGAUCAGUAGCCGGUCUGAGAGGAUGAACGGCCACAUUGGGACUGAGACACGGCCCAGACUCCUACGGGAGGCAGCAGUGGGGAAUCUUCCACAAUGGGCGAAAGCCUGAUGGAGCAACGCCGCGUGAGUGAAGAAGGUCUUCGGAUCGUAAAGCUCUGUUGCACGGGACGAAAACCGAGCUUGAGAAUAUUGAGUUUGGGGACG
rnacentral:rRNA from 1 species